rnacentral:rRNA from 1 species
AUUGAACGCUGGCGGCAGGCCUAACACAUGCAAGUCGAACGAGUGGCGGACGGGUGAGUAAUGUCUGGGAAACUGCCCGAUGGAGGGGGAUAACUACUGGAAACGGUAGCUAAUACCGCAUACCAUCGGAUGUGCCCAGAUGGGAUUCGCUAGUAGGUGGGGUAACGGCUCACCUAGGCGACGAUCCCUAUCUGGUCUGAGAGGAUGACCCGCCACGCUGGAACGGAGACACGGUCCAGACUCCUACGGGAGGCAGCAGUGGGGAAUAUUGCACAAUGGGCGCAAGCCUGAUGCAGCCAUGCCUCGUGUAUGAAGAAGGCCUUCGGGUUGUAAAGUACUUUCAGCGAGGAGGCGUUACGCGCAGAAGAAGCACCGGCUAACUCCGUGCCAGCAGCCGCGGUAAUAC